UUGGAGGGCAAGUCUGGUGCCAGCAGCCGCGGUAAUUCCAGCUCCAAUAGCGUAUAUUAAAGUUGCUGCAGUUAAAAAGCUCGUAGUUGAAUUUCGGGACCAUCAUGUCGGUCGUGCCUCGGUACGUACUGGUAUAGUUGGUUUCUCCCUUCUGACGAACCAUGAUGUCAUUUAUUUGGUGUUGUGGGGAAUCAGGACUGUUACUUUGAAAAAAUUAGAGUGUUUAAAGCAGGCUCACGCUUGAAUACAUUAGCAUGGAAUAAUGAAAUAGGACGUUUGAUUCUAUUUUGUUGGUUUCUAGGAUCGACGUAAUGAUUAAUAGGGAUAGUUGGGGGCAUUAGGAUUCAAUUGUCAGAGGUGAAAUUCUUGGAUUUAUUGAAGACUAACUACUGCGAAAGCAUUUGCCAAGGAUGUUUUCAUUAAUCAAGAACGAAAGUUAGGGGAUCGAAGACGAUCAGAUACCGUCGUAGUCUUAACCAUAAACUAUGCCGACUAGGGAUCGGAUGAUGUUAAUUUUUUAAUGACUCAUUCGGCGCCUUACGGGAAACCAAAGUGUUUGGGUUC
rnacentral:rRNA from 1 species